GUACACUCCUACGGGAGGCAGCAGUGGGGAAUAUUGGACAAUGGGCGCAAGCCUGAUCCAGCCAUGCCGCGUGAGUGAUGAAGGCCCUAGGGUUGUAAAGCUCUUUCACCGGUGAAGAUAAUGACGGUAACCGGAGAAGAAGCCCCGGCUAACUUCGUGCCAGCAGCCGCGGUAAUACGAAGGGGGCUAGCGUUGUUCGGAUUUACUGGGCGUAAAGCGCACGUAGGCGGACUAUUAAGUCAGGGGUGAAAUCCCGGGGCUCAACCCCGGAACUGCCUUUGAUACUGGUAGUCUUGAGUUCGAGAGAGGUGAGUGGAAUUCCGAGUGUAGAGGUGAAAUUCGUAGAUAUUCGGAGGAACACCAGUGGCGAAGGCGGCUCACUGGCUCGAUACUGACGCUGAGGUGCGAAAGCGUGGGGAGCAAACAGGAUUAGAUACCCGUGUAGUCC
rnacentral:rRNA from 1 species